UACGAAGGUCCCAAGCGUUGUUCGGAAUCACUGGGCGUAAAGGGCGCGUAGGCGGGAAUGUAAGUCGGGCGUGAAAUCCCCAGGCUCAACCUGGGAACUGCACUCGAAACUGCGUUUCUUGAGUAUCGGAGAGGAAAGCGGAAUUCCUGGUGUAGAGGUGAAAUUCGUAGAUAUCAGGAGGAACACCAGUGGCGAAGGCGGCCUUCUGGACGGUAACUGACGCUGAGGCGCGAAAGCGUGGGGAGCAAACAGG
rnacentral:rRNA from 1 species